ncrna:unclassified sequences GP20-a RNA
AUCACCCUACCAUGCCGGGACAUAACUGCAUGGGCGCCGCGCCCGCGGAGUGGCCGCGGAUAUAUAAGCCAAAUCUACGGCGGCAGGGGGGAA